UCCAACGUCGUCUAGUGGUUUAGGAUUUUGCAUUUUCAUAGAGCAUGAAGAUCUGCAAGGGCCAGGGUUCGAACCCCUGCGUUGGAG